UCCAUGGUGGAAUAGUGGAGAUUAGUAUGCGGCGCUCUCAUCUCCACGACCCCGGUUUGAAUCCCGGUCAGGGAA